UUGAAUUUUAAUGAAGAGUUUGGUUGUAGCUGGCCCAUUCAUUUGGGCAUGUGCACACCUUCCUCUUUCAUCCCACACACACCUGUGAACCUGUGAGACAGAGAUGGGGAAUUUACUUGCUGCUUUUUGGAAUACAAGGCAAUAGGUUAUUGGACCCCCCCUCUGUCUACUCAAUUAAUAUAAACUCAAUUUAUUUAAAACGAAUGUAAUGGAUGUAACACAUCUCAUAC
rnacentral:misc_RNA from 1 species